CAACUUAGGAUGCCCUGCCGGUUACUAGUAUAACUUUUUCAAUUGAGGUUGGAGAUUGUGGAAUAUCAAGAAUCAAUCACAAUACUUUGGUAUCUGGUUCUGUGUGAGGAAAGCUUCCAUGGAUGACACCAGAAUUGUUGAACGGUAGCAGUAGCCGGGUUUCUGAAGAAGGUUGCUGAGAUUGUUGCUAACUUCAUUGUGAAGGGUUCUGGUAUUCCAGCAAGGUAGUAGUUCAGGCAUAUCGUCAGGCAAUUGCAAGUAAGUUUUUCUUAACAUCGUAUCUCAAUGCAUGACUUGCAGCUCUG